rnacentral:rRNA from 1 species
GAUCAUGGCUCAGGACGAACGCUGGCGGCGCGCCUAACACAUGCAAGUCGAACGAGCGAGAGAGAGCUUGCUUUCUCGAGCGAGUGGCGAACGGGUGAGUAACGCGUGAGGAACCUGCCUCAAAGAGGGGGACAACAGUUGGAAACGACUGCUAAAUACCGCAUAACGCCCACGACCCGGCAUCGGGAAGAGGGAAAAAGGAGCAAUCCGCUUUGAGAUGGCCUCGCGUCCGAUUAG